UAGCGGGAAAAAAUUUCAAUUUUGCUUGUAUUUUUAGUCCCUCCAAAACUCACAUAAAAAUUCUCUUAUCCUUUAUUCGUCCAAAAUCUUGCCUCAAUAUUUCUCUAAAAAUCGACUGCCUCCAAAAAAUUUCACCGAAAGUUUCUUCCCUCUUUGUCGCUUCAAUCCAUGGCUACCAAACCUAAUUCCAAUUUAUUUAGCCACAAACUUUUUUGUAGAUCUGGUGGUUGCAAUUCCAAUUUCUUCAAUUGCAUAAUAUCGAUCUGGGUCAACCCCGGGGCGGCCCAGCAGAACACAAAACCCUAAGAUAGCCAUCGCGAGUAGCGAUGGCAGUGCCUCUUCUUGGAAAGAAGAUAGUGAAGAAAAGGGUCAAAAAAUUCAAGAGAACCCAGAGCGACCGUUACAUUUCGCUCAAGCUAAACUGGCUUAGGCCAAAGGGUAUUGAUUCUCGAGUACGAAGAAAGUUCAAGGGGUCAAUCUUGAUGCCUAAUAUUGGAUAUGGUUCUGACAAGAAAACUCGCCACUAUCUUCCCAAUGGUUUCAAGAAGUUUCUUGUGCACAACGCCGCAGAACUGGAACUACUGAUGAUGCACAACAGGACAUACUGUGCAGAAAUCGCUCACAAUAUAUCUACCAAAAAGAGGAAAGAAAUUGUUGAGAAAGCUGCCCAGCUUGAUGUUGUCGUCACUAAAAAGCUUGCUAGGUUGCGCAGUCAGGAGGAUGAAUGAGCUUUUAGGCUGAGUACUUCUCCGUGCUGUGGAGUCAUGGUUUUUUCGUGGAGCCCUAUCCUUCACUUUGAAAGUUAUUAACCUCCUUUACAAACAUUUGAAAUAGGAAUGGUAUUGAGGUGAUUUUUACCUUUUUCGAUUGCAACUUCUUCCAAUAAGACGUUAAAUGAGCACCUUUGUUGUACCCCUGUAUGGUCUCCGUACAUUUGAAUAUGAAUGCAAUUUUUGGCCAAAAAAAAAUAAAAUAUAUAUAUCGAUUUAAGUCAACAAAUUCCGACUGAAUCUACUACAGAUUUUGAGUUCUUCUUCAAGACGUAUUCAAGGUAUGACCAUCAAUCCUAUAUAUUUUUUUGGUUUAAAUCGAUGAAUUAGAAGUUUUGGGUGAACGGAUUUGAUUUAGUUUUAGCUUCGGGUAGAUGCUGGGGAUUCGAAGUCUUGUGUUUUUCUUCAAAUUUGAUUUGAUUUAGUUUUAUAUUUGUAUUUAGUUUAACAGCAACGUUUGAAACAUUAGGUGAACAGAAUGGAUUCAUUUUUGGUUGCUGGUAUAUACUAUUUAAAAAUUAAUUAUUUUUUAUCUACCUGAAAAUAAUCAAUCUUGGUGUAAUAUUUGUGAUUUACAUUUUGUUGUCUUUUAAUUCACUGCUUUUUCUAUGAUAGUUCUGAUUGUGAAAUUGGUCCUUUAACUUUUGUAUUUAUUAUAAGCAAGAUUGGAAUGCUGGAAUUCGUUCAGGAUUCGGGUACGUCGAAUCUCUGGUUAAAACAAUCUUUAUAAUGAAGGAACAGAAAAAAGUGAAAUAAUAAUAAGAGUUCCUGAGACAAAAAUUCUAACAAACACCUCUUUUCUUAUGCACCAGAAUACUGAUUCCAACUACCUGUAUCCUUUUUGCCUCAGCUCUUCCAGUAAUUGCAUUUGGAAAGCAAAUAAGCAGAGAUACUGGUACACUUUUUAAAUUAAGUUUGGGUAGAAAAACCCUGAAGCUUGGCUUGUUAUCAACUAUCAAAGUGAUCAUGACCACACAAAACAUUAUUUCUGUUUAUAAAGGAUUACAAGUUCUGUACUGAUUUAUUGCUUAAAAUUGUAGAUGGGAGCCUAAGAACAGUAGAACUUUGCUAUCAACUGCAAUUUGUGGUAAUGUAUAAUACACUUUAUAUUUGGUGGAUAAGCCUCCUUAUUGUACAUAUAUGAUGGCACUUAUAUAUGUGCAAUUGCAGUCUAACUUAAAAGUGUUCUUAUAUACUUCUAAUUUAUUUUAUUUCCAUUUUUUAGCAUUAAGUUUUGUUGCAUCAGCAUCUUAGUUUAUGGGGACAUGAGAUUUGUUUGUUUGAACUUUGAAAUUCAGUUGUAUUUUUCCUUUCGACAAUGUUAUAUUUUGGUAGUCGCUUUUUCUCCCUUUGAUAUUUCAACUUAUGUAAAUAUCCCGAGUGUAUGGCUGUUAGAGCAAUCAUAUAGUGAUUGACUAUGAACUUAAAAAAAUGGCAUAUUUCUACAGAAUGAUUCAUGAUAUGCGCAUAAAAGAUGGAAAAGCAACAUAUGUCUUCCUAUUGUUAUUGUUAUCAUUGAUGUUGCUUUGAAACUUCUGCAUUUAGUUUGGGUGUGUUAGAAUAGUUGAAUUGGAUUUGUUUCUAAAAUAAGCUAUUCAUAAAGAGUGGGAUAUUUCCUAAUUUUUCUGUCUAUUUUUAGGAUGAUAGGAUGGUUUACUGUUAAGCUUUCUAGAAGUCAAUUCUUACAUUGUAUUUAUCUUUGUAAUUUCUACUUGGAACAGAAUUAGGUUUCAGUCUUCCCAAAUUUCACUUGGUAUCAAAGCCAUACUAGUUUUGUUUAUAAAGGAUUACAAGUUUUUUCCUGCCAUUUAUAGCAUUUGCAAUAUUUGAGUAAUCAUCUUGGAAUAUUUUCCAACAGGAGGGUACAUCACCCUUGAACCUAUAUGUUCAAGAUGAAUUUCAUCGUUCUGCACAAGCGGGGGUUGGAGGUGUCAAAAGCAUUACAAAUUAUGAUCCGGUAGAAUAUGUGCUGGAUGAUCAUAAUAACCUCGUAGUUUCCUCUUUCACUUGUUUGACAUUUAUUGCUUUGUAGAAGAUUUUAUUGCUUUAAUACGUUAACAACUUUUGUAGGUUUUGAAAUCAUUAAACAGAGCAUGGAACAGACUUCUCUGAUGUCUUAUACCUUGAUUCUAUGAAUAAGAGAUAUACUGAAGAGGCCUUUUCUUGUUCUGUCUUCAUUUUGAAGGUAGUUAGCUAAUCCACUUGUAUGGAGAAAUUUUCUUUCUACGCCAACAACCAAUGACUUUAUUCUUAAAGCUCAAAGAAUUUUUCCCAAAUGUUCCUGGUUGGCGAAUGUCCUAUUCCAUUUGAAGAAUUACUUGAUGCUAACGAAGUUUUCUGUGUAGGUUAUUUUACUCAUAACUUUAUUCUUAAAUAGGUUUGAAGCACAUCUCUCAAUACGCAGCAUCUUUUCUAGGUGUGGGUGUUGCAUGGAGGACUGCAAAUGCCGAAUCAGGAUCAACGAUUGUCAUCUUCGAGUUAGGAGCAAUAGGAUUAGUUUUAUGAUCUUCUACCUGAUAGAAUAGGAGGAUUUGCUGCCUAUCUAAUUCAUGAGGAUAAAGAGUUCUAUUUUUUAGGUGCAUGAUUAUAGAUAUAGAGCAUGCUUGCCAUGCUUUUUUAAAUAUAGAUGUAAUGAUACUUAGUAAAUGGUUUUUAUUUGUUGUUUGAUAAAAUAUUUUUGGAUUCGAUAUUAAGUUGAUUGA
rnacentral:lncRNA from 1 species